rnacentral:snRNA from 13 species
AGCUUUGUGCAGUGGCAGUAUCAUAGCCAAUGAUGUUUAUCCAAGGGGCGAUUAUUGCUAAUUAAAAAUAGCUAAAAGAAGAGAUUUUAAAUCCUCUCACCACACACACACACACACACACACAGUAUAAUUAUGUGAAGUGAAGGAUGUGUUAAGUAAACUUACUGUAGU